ACCGUGAUAGCUCAGAUGGUAGAGCAUCUGCCCAGUACGCGGAGGGUCGCCGGUUCGAUUCCGGCCCGCGGCG
rnacentral:tRNA from 1 species